rnacentral:rRNA from 1 species
AGAGUUUGAUCCUGGCUCAGGAUGAACGCUGGCGGCGCGCUUUAUGCAUGCAAGUCGGACGCUCCUGAAACCCGCAAGGGUGGAAGGGGAGUGGCGAACGGGUGAGUAACACGUAAGAACCUACCCUCCGGUGGGGGAUAACCCCGGGAAACUGGGACUAAUACCGCAUACGUUCCCGGUGCUUCGGCUUCGGGAGGAAAGGGAAAUCGCCGGAGGAGGGGCUUGCGUCCUAUCAGGUAGUUGGUGGGGUAAUGGCCUACCAAGCCGAAGACGGGUAGCUGGUCUGAGAGGAUGUACAGCCACACGGGGACUGAGACACGGCCCCGACUCCUACGGGAGGCAGCAGCAGGGAAUUUUGCGCAAUGGGCGAAAGCCUGACGCAGCGACGCCGCGUGAGGGAUGAAGGCCUUCGGGUCGUAAACCUCUUUUGUUGGGAAAGUUGACGGUACCCAGCGAAUAAGCCUCGGCUAACUACGUGCCAGCAGCCGCGGUAAGACGUAGGAGGCAAGCGUUAUCCGGAUUUACUGGGCGUAAAGAGCGCGCAGGCGGCCCUUUAAGUUCGCAGUGAAAUCUCCCCGCUCAAGGGGGAGGGGUCUGUGGAAACUGGAGGGCUUGAGGGCAGAAGGGGGAGGUGGAAUUCCCGGUGUAGUGGUGAAAUGCGUAGAUAUCGGGAGGAACACCAGUGGCGAAGGCGGCCUCCUGGGCUGCCCCUGACGCUGAGGCGCGAAAGCGUGGGGAGCGAACCGGAUUAGAUACCCUGGUAGUCCAAGGCGAAUCGCGACCG